rnacentral:lncRNA from 1 species
CACACAGUAGCAUGACAGGCCUAUGGUUAUCUGAUUGGCACACCGUAACUGCUCUAUUUCGUGCAUUUACACUUAAGCCUCUAAUAAUAGUUCUUUGAAAAGCACUGUCUUGUAUUUAACUGAUGAUUGGCUCCAGCAAUUAAAUCCUACCACACUUUAGAAUGCUGGACUAUUCUGCUGCUUCCCAGAGUUGGAAAGAAAGGAGUUGACUCACAUCUUACCCAUCUCACUCCAGGUCAGCAAUGGCACUGGAGGCAGUGCUGGGGAUACUGAGGAUAUUGCUGUUUUGAGUGGCAUGUGUUUGCUCUGGAGAAAACAAUACAGAGCCUCCCUCGAAUGCAGAGUUAACAGUGGGGUUGUGUUUCUGAUCAACAGAAGCUGCUGGAUUACACCUUGUCCACAGAUAUAAAAAGCGGGGAGGAGCAGACCGACAGCAGAAUGGGUCAACGUAAGGAACGGCAGAUAACGGGCUGGACGAACUGAAGAAAGAUGAACUCGGGCAGCAGCCAAGAACUGAGAGGAGGGGGUCAGCAGAUUCCCUAACUUCUCUCCUCCGCUACCUCUUGGAGUUUAUGUCCUCAUUUCAAUUAAACAAGCCUUUGUUAAAACCUUAGCCCUCUGUGCUCAGCCCUCUACUGGGACAUUUUUAAAAUGAAUUUUGUAUUAAAGGAGACAGGACUUUAGGUCUUUUCACUUCAACCAGGUACUGCCAGAAUAUUGCACUAUACAUGAAUCAGAAAGUGAGUUCACCUUAAUAAGCUCACCCAAUUUUAUACAAAAGCUAUUUGUCAGAGAGAAGUCGACAUUGG